GGGACAUUAAAACACAGGCUGGGGUGUGUGUGGAUGGAGACUGUUACUCUAUUCGUUUACUCCCUAGCCUCCAGAUAUGCCU
ensembl:miRNA